AUACGGAGGAUCCGAGCGUUAUCCGGAUUUAUUGGGUUUAAAGGGAGCGUAGGUGGAUUGUUAAGUCAGUUGUGAAAGUUUGCGGCUCAACCGUAAAAUUGCAGUUGAAACUGGCAGUCUUGAGUACAGUAGAGGUGGGCGGAAUUCGUGGUGUAGCGGUGAAAUGCUUAGAUAUCACGAAGAACUCCGAUUGCGAAGGCAGCUCACUAGACUGUUACUGACACUGAUGCUCGAAAGUGUGGGUAUCAAACAGGAUUAGAUACCCUGGUAGUCCACACAGUAAACGAUGAAUACUCGCUGUUUGCGAUAUACAGUAAGCGGCCAAGCGAAAGCAUUAAGUAUUCCACCUGGGGAGUACGCCGGCAACGGUAAAACUCAAAGGAAUUGACGGGG
rnacentral:rRNA from 1 species